GCAUCAGUGAGAACAGUGAUUCUGCUCCUGUGGUCUUGUUUUCUGCUCUAUCCCCGGUGCCUGAAAAAACGCUGAGAGAGAAGGCUUCAGUAAAGGCUUAAGGAAUUAACAACCUCAUGUUAAAAGGCUAAGGAGGUAAGGAUUAUUGCCACCAUCACUGUCAGUCAUCAUCACUGUCAUCACCAUCAUCAUCUCCAUUUUACAUCUGAGGAAAGUGAACCACAAAAGGAUGUAAUCACAUGAUCCACUUGGCCAAUCAAGAUUCUUCAUCCCUCCAUUCACAGUGAGGGAUCCACAGGAUGGGCAAAUAACUCAAACAAGAGUGGAAAUCCUCUGUUACAUUUAAUAAAAGAACAGUGAGAUCAAUAGCGUCUGCCAUGAACUGCAGUAACUAUGAAAGCCUGGAGUUGCCAUGGCAUGAAAGAAGCUGACAAUGAAGCCAACACAGAGAAAAGUGGAGUCAAGCUACAGAGUGAGGAGCAGUUUCUAGUAACAUCCUGUGAGCCCCUGGACAUAGUCUGAAGGACAACUCAAUGCUCAACUUUUCAGUUAAAUGAGCCAAUUAGUUUUAUGCAUAUAAAGAAAGUAUAUAUAUGUACAUAUAUAUAUGCAUGUCUAUACCCUUAUUUUUAAAACAAAUGAGAGCAUACUCUGUACACUGUUCUGCCUAUCGACUUUCUCACUUAAUAUAUCUUUUAGAAUUAGCACAUGUAGAUCUACUUUAUUAGAGCAUAUACAUCUAUUUUAUUCUUUAAUGGUUGCAUAAAGUUUCAUUGUGUAAACAUUACACACUAUAUUGCACCAGUUCCUUGUUGAUCAGCAUUUAGAUUAUGUACAAUUAUUUGCUACAUCAAACUACAAAAAUGACUAUGCUUAGAUAUAUGUCUUUGUACUAUAUACAAGUAUAUCUCUAGGCUUUUAGGAAGCAACUGACACAUUGAUUCUAGAAUUUAUAUGGAAAUUUGAAGGACCUAGAACAGUCUAAACAAUUUUGAAGAACAACAGUGGAUUAUUCACAUUAUCUGAUUUCAAGACUUCCUAUAAAGUUACAGUAAUCAAGACUGUACUGUAAGAAUGAGUACAUGAAUGUAACAUAAUAUAGAGUUCAGAAAUAAACCUGUACAUUUAGUGUUAAUUGAUUUUCAACCAAGAUACCCAAAUAUCAAUGGAGAAAGGAAAGUUUAAGAUAGAUUGAGCUGAAACAACCAGAAAAAAACCGAAAACUUGAGCCUCGACCUCCACCUCACAUCAUACACAAAAAUUAAUUAGCAAUAUGCGAUAAACCUAAAUGUGUAAGUUAAAACUGUAACUAUUCCAGAAGAAAAUUUAGAACAUCUUUACAACCUUAAGCAAAAGUUUUAAGUAGAUGUGUGAAUGGCCAAUAAGCACAUGUAAAGGUGCUCAGCAGAGAAAUGCUUUAAAACUGCAAUUAGAUACUACUUCACACAUAGGAGAAUAGCUGAAGAAAAAAAAAAAAAAAGAAAGAAAAGAAAAAAAACCCUGACAACACCAAAUGUUCACAGAGAAAUGAAGCAACAUAUAUUAAACAAUACUGGUGAAAGUAUAAAAUGGUUCAAUUGCUUUGUAAAACUGUUUAGCAGUUUAUUAUAACAUAAAACAUAUACUCACUCCAUGACCUAGCAAUUGUACUCCCAUUUAUCUUCCCCCAAGAGAAGCAAAAAAAAUAUGACCACA